rnacentral:rRNA from 1 species
CACGGAGUUGGCCGGGGCUGCUUCCCUCGAUACUGUCAACCUCUCGACGUGUUAGGUCGAGAGGUGUUCAUCUCGGUCGAAAGGAGUUUACGACCCGAAAGUCUUCAUCCUCCACGCGGCGUUGCGUCGUCAGGCUUGCGCCCAUUGCGAACAAUUCCCCACUGCUGCCUCCCGUAGGAGUCUGGGCCGUGUCUCAGUCCCAGUGUGUCCGUCCGCCCUCUCAGGCCGGAUACCGAUCGAAGCCUUGGUAGGCCGUUACCCCACCAACUAGCUAAUCGGACGCGGGCCCCUCUCCAAGCGCCAGGUCUUGCGAUCCCCGGCUUUGAUGUCCGUGUAUCCAAACACGGGAUGUCAUGCGGUAUUAGCCUCCCUUUCGGAAGGUUAUCCCCCACUCUGAGGUAGGUCGCCCACGUGUUACUCACCCGUUUGCCACGCUACAAACCCCUUGCGGGGUCUUCGCGUUCGACUUGCAUGUGUUAGGCACGCCGCCAGCGUUGAUUCUGAGCCAGGAUCAAACUCU